GUGCAGGUCCUGUGCGGCGGAGCGCCGCGAACCAUGUCAGGCGGGGAACCGAGCAGCAUUAAGCGGUAUGCCCGUGCGCCACAGCCCGCCUGUACGCC
rnacentral:SRP_RNA from 1 species